UAAUACGUAGGUGGCAAGCGUUGUCCGGAUUUAUUGGGUUUAAAGGGUGCGUAGGUGGUCUAUUAAGUCAGUGCUGAAAUAUCCCGGCUUAACCGGGAGGGUGGCAUUGAUACUGAUGGACUUGAGUAAAGUUGAGGUUGGCGGAAUUGACGGUGUAGCGGUGAAAUGCUUAGAUAUCGUCAAGAACACCUAUAGCGAAGGCAGCUAACUAAGCUUUAACUGACACUGAUGCACGAAAGUGUGGGGAUCAAACAGGAUUAGAUACCCUGGUAGUCCACACUGUAAACGUUGAUGACUCGCUGUUGGCGAUACACAGUCAGCGGCUUAGAGAAAUCGUUAAGUCAUCCACCUGGGGAGUACGCCGGCAACGGUG
rnacentral:rRNA from 1 species